rnacentral:rRNA from 1 species
GACGAACGCUGGCGGCGUGCCUAAUACAUGCAAGUUGAGCGCUGAAGGUUGGUACUUGUACCAACUGGAUGAGCAGCGAACGGGUGAGUAACGCGUGGGGAAUCUGCCUUUGAGCGGGGGACAACAUUUGGAAACGAAUGCUAAUACCGCAUAAAAACUUUAAACACAAGUUUUAAGUUUGAAAGAUGCAAUUGCAUCACUCAAAGAUGAUCCCGCGUUGUAUUAGCUAGUUGGUGAGGUAAAGGCUCACCAAGGCGAGGAUACAUAGCCGACCUGGGAGGGUGGUCGGCCCCAUUGGGACUGGGACACGGCCCAAACUCCUAGGGGAGGCAGCAGUAGGGAAUCUUCGGGAAUGGACGAAAGUCUGAGCGAGAAACGCCGCGGGAGUGAAGAAGGUUGUCGGAUCGGAAAACUCUGUUGGUAGAGAAGAACGUUGGUGAGAGUGGAAAGCUCAUCAAGUGACGGUAACUACCCAGAAAGGGACGGCUAACUACGUG